GGGGCAUUAAAAAUACUAGUAGAAAGAUUCAGAGGGGCAGAAUUUGGACAAAUGGCUGACAAAGUAUGAGGUAGGGCCAAGAAAGAGGGAAGUAUCUGAACAGCUAAUGCCAGUUUUAGCAGUUUGCAAGGACUGACAAGUCUGCACACCCUGAGCACUGUGUACAUACCUCAGGAAAACUUGGCAAUCUUUGGAAGACAGUCAUGAUGCUACAUGAUGAGGCUGAUAUCACAUAGUUGCUCCAUCAAAUCUAUGUUGUAAUAGUAGGCUGUCCAUGCUGAGAGAAUGAACAAUAUAUAAACCCUUGGUUUUAGAGGAGACUUCAGUUGCCUGGGUACUCCAUAGCAUUUUGACCAGAGAAUCCUCCUCUUGAGAGACAAUUUCAUCGCACAGAAUCUACAGACUUAGUAACAGAGUCCUACCAUUCCAAACAAUGGCAGAAGCUGACAUAGAAAUGGAUAACAUGGCUAAAGAUACUGAAGACACUAUAGAUGACAUUGAAAAAGACACUGAAGAUUUAUCAGAAGAAGAAAGAAGCAAAAUGGAAAAGAAAGCAGCUAAAGCCCGCAGAGAUGUUCAAGAGUUCUCCAGAGUUCGAGAGUUUUUAAAACCCCUCGCUGACAUGGCCAAAACAUACCUACCGAAGGUAGCAAUGUUUAUUGGGCAAAAUAUAGCUAUGGGUGUUAUCUUGUGGGGAGUAAAUAAGGUCCUCAACAAAACAUCCCACCAAGACCCCCAAAAAAGUUCAGAUGUGAAAAAGAAGGUUGCUGCCAUUAAUGCACUCAUCACUGUGAUCAAGACUCAAGGGGAUUUAGGUAAGAAGACCUUCGAGUGGAUGAAGGAGCACAAAGAUGAAGUAAUUACCUUGGAUGAGACUGAUGUGCCACUGGAAUCGGUGAUUUCAAAAUAUAUCACACCCAUAUCUGAGUCUGUUGAUGCAGCCUUCAAGAUAGCACAAAAGCUGAAGUACAAGUUGGAUGGAGAAGUUCAGUUCAAUAUCCCGACUGGAGAAGACAUGAGAGAAUUCCUUACAGCUGGUGAUGCAUUUCUCAAAGGCUACAGUGACCUGGUUGCCUUCAUCCCCACAAAGGUGCAGAAGAUUGAACAGCUGGCAACCUUUCCAGUGAAACAGGCAGACAUCGACCUUCUUACAACUCAGCUGAAAGAUGCCAAGCACUUACCUUUGUGGUAAAGAAAUGAGAUACCUUGAUUUGUGAUUACAAGACACAAAAGUCAGGUUGGUUUUCUCCAUAGUCUAGCAAUGACUGCAGUAUUUGGUGUCUGGUUUCUGAGUGGUAAAAAAUUUGGUGCCAAGAUUUAAUGUCAGGAAAGUUUUCAAUGUUGCAGACCUGAGUAGAUAUAUAGUGGUUAACUCUUGCAGCCAUCUUUUAUUCUUCUCUUUGACCAUGUUUUUCCUCUUCUUACAUAAUUUACAUUUCACACUCUAAGAUCUAAAUCUGUAAAAUAAAUUACAUGCAGGUACCUGCUCUAAACUCUUUUACUAACAGCAUUCAGUGUAAGAAAGUGCUUAAAGAAUUAAAAAUCUUUUUUUUUUAAAUGCUCCAAAAUGAUGGAGCUGUAGGAGAUAUUGGUUAAUUACAGUUAAUGAGGUGUUGGGUUAUAUUGCAGGUAUGAUUCUGUGAGCAGUAUGUCUGCAUGGGAAGCUUGCUCUCUAGAUUUAUGGAUUUGAGCAGAUAGAGCUUUGUUAUGAUAUAAUAUCACAAUGUGUACUAACACUGCAGCACGUGUUUACUGAUACCAUGAUAAUCAAUUUUACAGUAACAUGUUAAUCGUUGCUUUUGCUUUAUAUUAUCAAAUAAACACUUUAAUCACUCUGUGGUCUAAGUGGUCUCAUUUCAUGCAUCAACCUAAAAGAAACGUCUCUUAUGUCAGAUUAAGUAAACU
ensembl:lncRNA